AAAUUUGGGAUUAUGUUGGUGACACUUAUGUUCAUCGCUUGAACCAGUCAAAAGUUGAUUGUAAGUUUGGAGAGAUGAAUUCGCACUGUAUGUCACAUGAAGGAGAGUGUGGAACUUGUGAAUAUGAUGAAGACUCUGGAAUCAAUGAGGCCCUGUACAGCAGUAAAGUUGAAGCAAUUGUGGAUGAGUAUAAUCGGCUUCUUGCAACUCAGCUGGAAACUCAGAGACAAUAUUAUGAAUCUCUGCUGGCAGAGGCCAAAAGCAAAAAGGAAGUAUCCAUUUCUGAAGCAGUAGAAGAG
rnacentral:misc_RNA from 1 species